UUCCCUAUUACAUUACAUUGGGACUUUGAUUCCAUUAAUAAAUUCUCCAACCUUCAUUUGAGAAAAAUAUCUAAAGCAGAAGAAACAUCCUCCUCUCGCUUGUUUCUUGAUCAAUAUCCAAAUUCAAGCAGGUUAAGAUGUCAGGAUCCAUUGAUCUUAAGAGGAAGGGCCCUAUGAAGGAUGAUGACUACAGACGAAUGACUAAAGAAUGAUUAAAACAGGAAAGGCAGAAACAAA